CCUACGGGUGGCAGCAGUGGGGAAUAUUGCACAAUGGGGGAAACCCUGAUGCAGCGACGCCGCGUGAGUGAAGAAGUAAUUCGUUAUGUAAAGCUCUAUCAGCAGGGAAGAAAAUGACGGUACCUGAGUAAGAAGCCCCGGCUAACUACGUGCCAGCAGCCGCGGUAAUACGUAGGGGGCAAGCGUUAUCCGGAUUUACUGGGUGUAAAGGGAGCGUAGACGGAAGUGCAAGUCUGGGGUGAAAGGCGGGGGCUCAACCCCGGGGCUGCUGAUGAAACUGUACGGCUGGAGAUCGGGAUGGGAAAGUGGAAUGCGUAGGGUAGCGGUGAAAUGCAGAGAUAGUAGACAGAACACCGGUGGCGAAGGGGGCUUGCUAGGCUGUAUCUGACGUUGAGGCUCGAAAGCGUGGGGAUCGAACAGGAUUAGAUACCCUUGUAGUC
rnacentral:rRNA from 1 species